GUUUUUUCCCCAUUCAAAAGGAAACUGGAGGGAUUUUUGUUUUGUUUUUUGUUUUUUAAUUAGAGAAAUAAAUCUUUCUAAUCAGUGCCUCAGGAAAGUGUCUUCUGGCUACCGGCACUGCAAUGGCUCAGGUCCCAGAUGGAAUGGGUGCUGUGAUGGCACGGGCUCCAGAUGGCAUGGGCAUGCAAGAGUGAGGCACAUUAUGAGGGAGUUUUCAGGAGCCCACUGGAAUUAUAUGUCUAUGAUGUCCUCUUACUUUUAUUCUCUCCCCAGCUCUCAAAGUCGCUGCCAACAAGCUCAUCAAGACAUAAAGCAAUGAGGGAGACCCCAAAGAGUGGACACUCAAAUGAAUAAGGGAAUUUAAAAAAAAAAUGUUUAAGUAGGCUCCAUACUCCAUGCCCAGCAUGGGGCCCACUAUGGGGCUUGAACUCACAACCCAGAGAUCAAGACCUGAGCUGAGAUCAAGAGUCCAAUGCCUAACUGACUGAGCCACCCAGGUGCCCCAUAAAAGAAUUAAAUAAAUCCGUACACAAUGCCAGACUCUCUGAUAAACGCUCCAAAUUCCCUCACUUAAGCCUGAAAAGGAGAUUUUAUUAAAUGCAUUUUGCAAAGGAAAAGACUGAGGACAUACUGGCUGGCCUAAGGUUCAUAUAAGUAUAAAGUAAAAGCAGGAUGCAGAUGCAUGUGUGCCUGAUUCACUGCUCACACUCUUCCCACAGUUUCAGCCACUCUUCAGGUGAGAAGGCCCCCACUCCCAGAAUAAGCUCUUGCAAUCAAAUCAGUGGUGAAGUGAGUAGAGAGCUGUGUAAGCUAGACUCAUUCCUGCGUCCUUUUAGGAAUCUUUCGUCUCCGUCUGUGUUCCCUAGAAAUCAACACACCCAAGCUCAGCAUUGCACAGUGGGACACGCUGGCCUGCAGCCACAUGAACAACUAGCGAUCAUCCUUUUUCAAUAUCAACUCUAUGAGUCAAACCUCAGCAUGAACGCAUUAAGAGGUAGGUAUUUGCUGAUGACUAAUUUCAGUAAGUUAAAGUCAUUACCUAAACUCAUCAGAAUAUUAAAAUGAUAAAAUAAGCUUUUAUUAACAGUAGCCUCCUCUAUAAAUAUAGAAACAAUGUCUUCUUUCUUUAAACAGAUUUAUUCGAGAUUCGUCACUUGGGAAUUGGAAAAGUAGGAGAGCUUCUAUUUCUUUUCCGGUCAAUAAAUUAGCAGGAAGGAGAAGGUAAAUGCUGAAG
rnacentral:lncRNA from 1 species